rnacentral:rRNA from 1 species
AAAAUGACUYUYGGCAACGGAUAUYUYGGCUYUUGCAUCGAUGAAGAACGUAGCGAAAUGCGAUACUUGGUGUGAAUUGCAGAAUCCCGUGAACCAUCGAGUYUUUGAACGCAAGUUGCGCCCGAAGCCMUUAGGCUGAGGGCACGCCUGCCUGGGUGUCACACAUYGUUGCC